rnacentral:rRNA from 1 species
AUUGAACGCUGGCGGCAGGCUUAACACAUGCAAGUCGAACGAGUGGCGGACGGGUGAGUAAUGCUUGGGAAUCUAGCUUAUGGAGGGGGAUAACUACGGGCAACUGUAGCUAAUACCGCGUACCAUAGGAUGAGCCCAAGUGUGAUUAGGUAGUUGGUGAGGGAAAGGCUCACCAAGCCGACGAUCUCUAGCUGUUCUGAGAGGAUGACCAGCAACACUGGGACGGAGACACGGCCCAGACUCCUACGGGAGGCAGCAGUGGGGAAGAUUGCGCAAUGGGGGCAACCUGACGCAGCCAUGCCGCGUGGAUGAAGAAGGCCUUCGGGUUGUAAAGUUCUUUCGGUAGCGAGGCGUUAACUACAGAAGAAGCACCGGCUAACUACGUGCCAGCAGCCGCGGUAAUAC